UACAGAGGUCCCAAGCGUUGUUCGGAUUCAUUGGGCGUAAAGGGUGCGUAGGUGGCGCUGUAAGUCGGGUGUGAAAUUUCGGAGCUUAACUCCGAAACUGCAUUCGAUACUGCGGUGCUUGAGGACUGGAGAGGAGACUGGAAUUCAUGGUGUAGCAGUGAAAUGCGUAGAGAUCAUGAGGAAGUCCAGUGGCGAAGGCGGGUCUCUGGACAGUUCCUGACACUGAGGCACGAAGGCCAGGGGAGCAAACGGG
rnacentral:rRNA from 1 species